AGCAACAUCAUAUGCUAUACCACACCUCCAGACUGUGUUCCUGAAUCUCUCCAUGGUCCCAGGCUGGAGCACACCUCAUCUAGGCUGAAUUCCCAGCAGGAAUGAGCUUCCCAGAGCACAAAGGCUGAACACCUCAAACCAUCCAGCAGUGCGCCCCAGGGCUGGCUGCCCCAGGCUCUGUUGGUUUGGCCCAUCAGCCCUUUCUUCACCUCAAAACGGGCCCUGCAGCAAAGGGAGGAGGAGGUGGCACCCUUUUAUGGUGCGAGUAACAGCUCAGCACUAUGCUGCCCCGAGGCAAGGCAUGCUGCACACUCAAUGAUUUCAGAAGAAGCUUAAAAGAAAAAAAAAAAAAAAAAGGAAGAAGGAAUGAGGAACUAAGACAGCACACCCUGUAGGCCUAAUUGCACCUCUCUGUUCUCCGGUGGGUGAAAACGUGUUCAUUGCCAUGAUCUUCCCAUGAAGCCACAGAACUUAGUUAAGAGGAAUAAGAUCAGGAGGUAAAUGCUUCUGGAGCUGAAUCACCUAACUCUUGUGCUAGGUCCUAGAACUGCCAAGUUCAAUAACAGCCCCUUUGAAUCUGCAAAGGGAGAAAAAUGUCAAAGCAAGACUCAUAGCAAUCAAUGAAAGGUGAUCUUGGGACAAAUCAAAGUACUGCUGGAGAAGAGCAGUGAUGGAAAGAGCUCAUCUUUGAUUGGCUUUGGAUAGAGUAAUAAGCAAAAUUUCCCCCAUAACUAAGGUCUUAGUUAACAUACAUGAACCAGAGAUUCAGUGGAAGGUGUAUAGUGAAGGCAGCAACAACCCACAGACAUUACAAGCCAUUUGUCUUUGAGUGAGCCAUUGGGGAAGAUGAGAAAGUUCCUCUCCCCAGUGGGUGUCACAGCAAGCUUUGGCAUACCAAUGCGUUCACCCAUAUUAUCACCACAGAGCAAACCGAGGGUGUUCUUAACCAUAACACAGAGUCAAAUGCAGCCACUCCUGCAAAAUUUCACAGAAUCUGGAAAACCAGACCGCGUGAAUGUCCUUUCUUCAAAUGUGGGAAACACUAACUCAGCCAUGCUAUCCUCCACGGCACCUUCUUGAAGGAUUGUGUAUGUACCUAUCGAAAUCCCUUCGAUUUCAUGGUUUUUCACUGGCUACUGAUACCAAUGAAGUACUUCAGGAAUCUGUCCAUGCCCAUAGCAGCUGCUUUGCACCUGGUUUUAUGGGAAACUGUGAAAUGAGAUUUUCUCAAGAUUUUUUGGGGGUUGAGACUGGGCCGAGACCUGACACAUUUAAAACAACUAUAUGAAGCUUUAUUACACAAGGAAAAUCACACGCUUUGGAAGAAUUCGUGACUCGAAGUCUAAUGAACGAUCAGGACCUCAUAAUUCAUGUUCUGAUUUUUUACUGAUUUAUGAUGACUUAUUUACUUAUUUAUUUUAAUCAGAAGGGCUGAUUAUGGUGACUAAUCCCAGAAAAAUCUUUCAUGUUAAGGGUAAAUCACAGAGGAUUUGCUUUUCUGUACAUAAAUAACUCAGAGAAUAAACAUAAUACUGUCAACUAAUUUUCAGUUAUUUAAAAUACUGUGCUAAGGCUGCUUGAAAUUUUUCCAUCAAGAUGGAAACUGGAU
ensembl:lncRNA